ACGUAGGGAGCGAGCGUUGUCCGAAUUUACUGGGCGUAAAGCGCGCGUAGGCGGGUUAUUAAGUUGGGGGUGAAAUGCCGAGGCUUAACCUCGGAACUGCCUCCAAAACUGGUAGCCUUGAGGUAUGGAGAGGGAAGUGGAAUUCCAGGUGUAGCGGUGAAAUGCGUAGAUAUCUGGAGGAACACCCGUGGCGAAGGCGGCUUCCUGGCCAUAUCCUGACGCUGAGGUGCGAAAGCUAGGGGAGCGAACGG
rnacentral:rRNA from 1 species